rnacentral:rRNA from 1 species
UACGGGGGGAGCAAGCGUUGUUCGGAUUUAUUGGGCGUAAAGAGCUCGUAGGCGGCUUGUCGUGUCGACUGUGAAAACCCGCGGCUCAACCGCGGGCCUGCAGCCGAUACGGGCAGGCUAGAGUUCGGUAGGGGAGACUGGAAUUCCUGGUGUAGCGGUGAAAUGCGCAGAUAUCAAGAGGAACACCUGAGGUGAAGACGGGUUGCUGGGCCGACACUGACGCUGAGGCGCGAAAGCCAGGGGAGCAAACGGG